rnacentral:rRNA from 1 species
CCUACGGUGGCAGCAGUGGGGAAUAUUGGACAAUGGGCGAAAGCCUGAUCCAGCCAUGCCGCGUGUGUGAAGAAGGCCUUCGGGUUGUAAAGCACUUUCAGUGGGGAAGAAAGCCUUGGGGCUAAUACCCUCGAGGAAGGACAUCACCCACAGAAGAAGCACCGGCUAACUCCGUGCCAGCAGCCGCGGUAAUACGGAGGGUGCGAGCGUUAAUCGGAAUUACUGGGCGUAAAGCGCGCGUAGGCGGUCUGAUAAGCCGGUUGUGAAAGCCCCGGGCUCAACCUGGGAACGGCAUCCGGAACUGUCAGGCUAGAGUGCAGGAGAGGAAGGUAGAAUUCCCGGUGUAGCGGUGAAAUGCGUAGAGAUCGGGAGGAAUACCAGUGGCGAAGGCGGCCUUCUGGACUGACACUGACGCUGAGGUGCGAAAGCGUGGGUAGCAAACAGGAUUAGAUACCCCAGUAGUC